UGGUGCAGAUGGUGUCCACGUAGGUUUCGU
rnacentral:piRNA from 1 species